UACUAUCGAUGUUUUUUAAAACAGCGAUGUAUCGAUGCUUUUUUUCGAACAUCGAUGUUAUCACUAAGAGAUACACACGCAAAGCAAGUGUUUGAUACAGGUAAAACAUAUUAGGGCGGUUCCUCUCGGCACAAUGGACAGGUUUCUGCACAUAACAAACCACGUGUCUGCUGCUUCGUCGUCUGCUCCAACGUCUGCUGCUUCGUCGUCUGCUCCAACGUCGAUUUCGAUGUUUUUAGCGAAAUUUCGAGGUUUUAGCAAAAUUUCGAUGUUUUCGCGAAAUUUCGAUGUUUUAGCGAUAUAUCGAUGCUUACAAACAUCGAUGUUGAAAACAUCGAUGUACUCACUAUCGAUGUUUUUGCAUCCCUAAGGGACGGAGACUUAUUAAAGCGUGAAUGGCGGGAAUAUAUCGAUAAGAGCGGGACGAUGAAUUCAGAGUAGCCGGAUCUUUGCAAAGUGUAGACAAUUUAAAACAGAAAUCAACUUAACCAAAAAGUCUGGGUACGCUGUUAAAUUGCUGUUGUUGAAAAUUCAAUAGAUCAUUUCAGCAAUUGAGGAAUCGACCCAAAAUGGAUCCUCUUGGUCUUGCGAACAGCUGUGACCAGUUUUGUGUUAUUUUUUAUUAUAAGUUAAUGCCUUAAAUUAUUAUUAAGGAACAGCGCCGCCACUAGGUGUACAGAGAAGUAAGGCCCGUCAUGUAGAAGACUACCGAGCCCAGUAGCGAAGUACUUCCGCGCGUUCUCGAAGGAGGCGAAGUGAAAAAGCACUAGCUUGCAAACGCUUAAGAGAUACCGCAGCGCACAUACUCUAAGAGGCGGCCAUGACAGCAAUGCAACAUCCUGAUAAUUUGCUCAUUGGGACCACAUUAUAAGGACGAAGGAAUUUCGAUAUUAAUAGAAAGUCGGAAAGACUUGGAGUGUAAACUUGUUGAUCACAACACAUUUGGAAAACAUGUUAAAAGUUUUGAAAAUAUUUUGUAUCAAAUACAUCUGACAUAAUUACUAGAAAUGGAAGUCCAUAAAAAGGCGAAAGUAGACAAAGAGUACUUCAAAUGUUUAAAGAUCAGCGCAUAGAUUAUAAAAAUAAAGUAAGCAAACAAAAUUUUAUAUUUACUAAUUUAUUAACGAAUAUAAAUAAAUAGAAAGACCUUUAAGAGACUCGACUUGUCUCGGACAAUGACGUGCCAGUCUGUGGCCCUAGUCCGCUAUCUAGAGAUGAAAGCCAAUUCGAUUUUGUAAAUCGUCGAUACUUUAAUAUGUUUUAUCAUUAACGAUUAAUGCCAAAACACUGAUUUUAUAGUGCUGUCACAUUAAAAGAAAAAUCGACCUAAUAGUUAAAAUAACAGAAAAAAAACAGAAUGGUCUAUAAGUUUGGUCAAUUUUGCCCAUUAAUUGGAAGAAACAAAUAUAUAUGAUUUGCUUAGAUCAUAUUAAUAACGAUAACUAUCUGAUUUUAAGGUUCUAAGCUAUUAAAACAAAAUUCUAAAUAGGUAUAAAAUUGUUGACAAUUGAUAAAAUCAGACACUUUAAAUACGACCUCAAAACUUUCGCAAAUAUUCAUUAUUUUGUUAUCGGCUUGGGUGAUUUUUUUACUUCGCGUUAUAAGAAAAUUUUGGUUGGUGCAGAAGCAAAGAGCCUCAUAACGGCUCAGAACCCAGCAAUAGAUCUCACCUCAAAAAAAAUUAUAACAUUGUUGUUUUUAAGGGAAAUGACCAACCUCCAGCUUAUGUCCUUCUUGGCAAGAUCUGGCACCUGUUGCACCAAAACGUACAUUAUCGGGGGUGUCACAGAAAUCCCUUCCAAUCAAAUUUCCCCCGAAAAGCAAAUCUCGGUGUCACAGACGUCAUUUUUGACGGUUUCUAAAUCCCCCGUAUUUUGACUGACGUUUUGAUAAAAUAAUCCAACCAAUCCGUCAUCUUCCACUUGCCAACAAAUAUAUUCCAAGGCCGGAUUUAGUUUUAAUGGAAACGCCGAUCUCGGCACCCUUGUGGCCGAAGAAGGUGCCAAGAUCGCAGAAAAGGCUCAGGGGAUAAAGGAUUUAAAUAAGACCUUGAAGGACACCACCGAUGCCAUUGUA